AUUGAACGCUGGCGGCAGGCCUAACACAUGCAAGUCGAGCGGGGUUUUCGGACCUAGCGGCGGACGGGUGAGUAAUGCGUAGGAAGCUACCCGAUAGAGGGGGAUACCAGUUGGAAACGACUGUUAAUACCGCAUAAUGUCUACGGACCAAAGUGUGGGACCUUCGGGCCACAUGCUAUCGGAUGCGCCUACGUGGGAUUAGCUAGUUGGUGGGGUAAUGGCUCACCAAGGCGACGAUCCCUAGCUGGUUUGAGAGGAUGAUCAGCCACACUGGAACUGAGACACGGUCCAGACUCCUACGGGAGGCAGCAGUGGGGAAUUUUGGACAAUGGGCGCAAGCCUGAUCCAGCAAUGCCGCGUGCAGGAUGAAGGCCUCGGUUGUAACUAGCUUUGUUACGG
rnacentral:rRNA from 1 species